GACGAACGCUGGCGGCGUGCCUAAUACAUGCAAGUCGAACGCAGUUGCGAACGGGUGAGUAACGCGUAGGAACCUGCCUGGUAGCGGGGGAUAACUAUUGGAAACGAUAGCUAAUACCGCAUACUACCAGAUGGACCUGCGUUGUAUUAGCUAGUUGGGGGGGUAAAGGCCUACCAGGCGACGAUCCGUAACUGGUCUGAGAGGAUGAUCAGUCACACUGGAACUGAGACACGGUCCAGACUCCUACGGGAGGCAGCAGUGGGGAAUAUUGGACAAUGGGCGAAAGCCUGAUCCAGCCAUGCCGCGUGUGUGAAGAAGGUCUUCGGAUUGUAAAGCACUUUAAGUGGGGAGGCGUUACCAACAGAAGAAGCACCGGCUAACUUCGUGCCAGCAGCCGCGGUAAUUC
rnacentral:rRNA from 1 species